GAUGAACGCUGGCGGCGUGCUUAACACAUGCAAGUCGAACGAGAGAAGAUCGGUGCUUGCACUGAUCCGAUCGAGUGGCGGACGGGUGAGUAACGCGUGGGUAACCUGCCUCAUACAGGGGAAUAACAGUUGGAAACGGCUGCUAAAACCGCAUAAGCGCACAGUAUCGCAUGAUACAGUGUGAAAAACUCCGGUGGUAUGAGAUGGACCCGCGUCUGAUUAGCUAGUUGGUGAGGUAACGGCCCACCAAGGCAACGAUCAGUAGCCGGCCUGAGAGGGUGAACGGCCACAGUGGGACUGGGACACGGCCCAAACUCCUACGGGAGGCAGCAGUGGGGAAUAUUGCACAAUGGGGGAAACCCUGAUGCAGCGACGCCGCGUGAGUGAUGAAGUAUUUCGGUAUGUAAAGCUCUAUCAGCAGGGAAGAUAAUGACGGUACCUGACUAAGAAGCACCGGCUAAAUACGUGCCAGCCGCCGCAGUAA
rnacentral:rRNA from 1 species